rnacentral:rRNA from 1 species
UACGGAGGGUGCAAGCGUUAAUCGGAAUUACUGGGCGUAAAGCGCACGUAGGUGGUUUGUUAAGCUAGCUGUGAAAUCCCCGGGCUCAACCUGGGCACUGCAGUUAGAACUGGCAAGCUAGAGUAGGGUAGAGGGGUGUGGAAUUCCAGGUGUAGCGGUGAAAUGCGUAGAUAUCUGGAGGAACACCGGUGGCGAAGGCGGCAUCCUGGACCAACACUGACGCUGAGGAGCGAAAGCCAGGGGAGCAAACGGG